rnacentral:rRNA from 1 species
AUUCCAGCUCCAAUAGCGUAUAUUAAAGUUGUUGCAGUUAAAAAGCUCGUAGUUGGAUUUCUGGCGUCGCCGCCCGGUUGGCCUCGAAAGGGGUAUGUACUGGGGCGCGCGUUGCCAUCCUCGGGGGAAGGCCGCCUGGCAUUAGGUUGUCGGACGGUCGACGCUCGUCGUUUACUGUGAACAAAUUAGAGUGUUCAAAGCAGGCUUAGGCCGUUGAAUACAUUAGCAUGGAAUAAUGAGAUAGGACUUUGGUGGUCUAUUUUGUUGGUUUGCACGCCGAAGUAAUGAUUAAUAGGGGCGGUUGGGGGUAUUCGUAUUCAAUUGUCAGAGGUGAAAUUCUUGGAUUUAUGGAAGACGAACUACUGCGAAAGCAUUUACCAAGGAUGUUUUCAUCA